rnacentral:rRNA from 1 species
AGUGAACGCUGGCGGUAGGCCUAACACAUGCAAGUCGAACGGCAGCACAGUAAGAGCUUGCUCUUACGGGUGGCGAGUGGCGGACGGGUGAGGAAUACAUCGGAGUCUACGGUUUCGUGGGGGAGAACGUAGGGAAACUUACGCUAAUACCGCAUACGACCUACGGGUGAAAGCAUGGGAUCUUCGGACCUUGCGCGAUUGAAUGAGCCGAUGUCGGAUUAGCUAGUUGGCGGGGUAAAGGCCCACCAAGGCGACGAUCCGUAGCUGGUCUGAGAGGAUGAUCAGCCACACUGGAACUGAGACACGGUCCAGACUCCUACGGGAGGCAGCAGUGGGGAAUAUUGGACAAUGGGCGAAAGCCUGAUCCAGCCAUACCGCGUGGGUGAAGAAGGCCUUCGGGUUGUAAAGCCCUUUUGUUGGGAAAGAAAAGCAGCAGGUUAAUACCCCGCUGUUCUGACGGUACCAAAAGAAUAAGCACCGGCUAACUUCGUG